ACAUUUUAGAGAGGGAGGCAACACUCGAAAGCUACAUCAAGGACACCGGAGGAUGGACCAGAAGACCUGAGACCAAGACAACCCAAGCCCUACCCGUAGUAUGCUUCACUGACAAAUGUUGAUGUUGAUGCUUCAUCAUCACAUAGACCAAAGGUUUCAGAGAAGGCUGGUAGAGCUCUCUAUGAGUGUGAGCUGUGGGAGAUAACCCAGAACUGACAACCACCUAAAGAAGAGGUGGCGAUAAUGGCUCUCCAAGAGGAGGUUGUGAGUCUGAAGGCUUUUAUUCAACAAGGAGGCACUUAGAGGGAAUGCCUGGACCCUGAGAGGACUAAGACAAUAAUUG